rnacentral:lncRNA from 1 species
AAUUAAGUAUGGUAGGGAUACCUUAACACCCGAGAUUGUCAUAGACUCACUUAGGAGUAAGGAGAUGGAGAUUAAGGCUGAAACAGAGGAUAAGAGGAGUGGCGAGUUACAUAUGAUGAGGAGUAGGAUGAAGUUUAAGCAAAUGAAUUUGGGUAGAACUCAAGACGGUAGUGAUUCGAGUAGUGACUCGAGUGAUGAGGGUAGUAAGAAGA